AAUAAUAAUAUAUGAUCAUAGCUAGGAAGCAUCCAAAAUCAACAGAGAACUUCCACCAACCCCAAAAUGAAAAUCCAAUGAACAUGAAUGUAAAUUAGAAUUUAGUGUCUGCAGAUACCUCCCCUCCAUUCCAUUAAUUUAAUGACCUCUUUUAAUAUAUAAGCACCACUAGGCAUAAUUUAGCAGUGUAUUUGAUAUGAUCUCGAAUUUAAUAAUUAUUAAAU
rnacentral:misc_RNA from 1 species